AGCGAACGCUGGCGGCAGGCCUAACACAUGCAAGUCGAACGAACUCUUCGGAGUUAGUGGCGGACGGGUGAGUAACACGUGGGAACGUGCCUCUUGGUUCGGAAUAACUCAGGGAAACUUGUGCUAAUACCGAAUGUGCCCUUCGGGGGAAAGAUUUAUCGCCAUUAGAGCGGCCCGCGUCUGAUUAGCUAGUUGGUGAGGUAACGGCUCACCAAGGCUACGAUCAGUAGCUGGGCAGAGAGGAUGACCAGCCACACUGGGACUGAGACACGGCCGGGACUCCUACGGGAGGCAGGAGUGGGGAAUCUUGCACAAUGGGCGAAAGCAUGACGCAGCCAUGCCGCGUGAAUGAUGAAGGUCUUAGGAUUGUAAAAUUCUUUCACCGGGGACGAUAAUGACGGUACCCAGAGAAGAAGCCCCGGCUAACUUCGUG
rnacentral:rRNA from 1 species